AGGAUGAACGCUAGCUACAGGCUUAACACAUGCAAGUCGAGGGCAGCAUGGUCUUAGCUUGACUAAGACUGAUGGCGACCGGCGCACGGGUGAGUAACGCGUAUCCAACCCUUCCCCCUGGUAGGGCAUAGCCCGGCGAAAGUCGGAUUAAUACCCUAUGUUAUCCGAAGAGGACAUCUGAUUCGGAUCAAAGAUUUAUCGCCAGUGGGAGUGGGGAUGCGUCCGAUUAGGUUGACGGCGGGGUGACGGCCCACCGUGCCCGCGAUCGGUAGGGGUUCUGAGAGGAAGGUCCCCCACAUUGGAACUGAGACACGGUCCAAACUCCUACGGGAGGCAGCAGUGAGGAAUAUUGAUCAAUGGGCGUAAGCCUGAACCAGCCAAAAGUAGCGUGCGGGACGACCGGCCCUAGUGGGUUAGUAAACCGUCUUUUGCGAGGGGAAAUAAAGUGUGGGACGUGUCCCAUUUUGCAUGUACCCUGAGAAUAAGGACCGGCUAAUUCCGUGCCAGCCGCGGC
rnacentral:rRNA from 1 species